rnacentral:pre_miRNA from 1 species
AAAACUUAGACCGUCGGUCUACCGAGCAAUAUCACCCGCUCGGCGAAAGAUCUUCCCGGUGGA